GGGAUAGGUCGGGGAGGGGGCCCGCGGGGCCCCGGGCGGGAGGGCAGGGCCAGCCCCGCGCACAAAGGAGCCCUGGCGGCGGCCCCUCGGAGGACAAUGCAGCCCUGGGGCGCGGGGGGCUGCGCCGCGCUCCAGCUGCCUCUUCACAACGAGGCCUGCAAAUGUGCCCACUUGAUUCUAAAUCCUCUUAGGCGCUCGCGGUGUGAACCGGGAAGGGGGUGGCCCUCCAAGCCUUUGCAAUCCCAGACCUGGAGCCUGGCGCUCGGCGAGCGGUUUGCACCACGCAUGCAAAUCGAGUUGGCGUCUUGGAGACGUGGGCAGAGUCUGUUGGGUUACCAGCAAACGCCCCGAUACGGCCCUUCAGUGCCACGCGGGGUCCCGAAAAAUGUGCAGGGUGUUUCCCCUGGAAAGACUUCCUGUUAAGUGUUCAGAAAAGCCAGCUGAGCUGCGCGUCAUUAGUCACCCAGAAUUCCCUGUAGGACUCCUGGGAUGUGAAGAACUACUCCCUGAUAGGAUCCCUCUGGAAUUCCUUACAUCAGAAGACAGCAUCUUUCCUUGACAAUCUGAUUUUUUUUAAAAAGAGGUUUUCUAUCCAUAAAACUGGAAUCUGCCUCCACUUAUGGAACCAUGGAGAAUUAAUCAAAUUUCUAUUUCACAUGGUAUUACCCUUCAGAUGUUUGGAGACACUCCCCACACCCUCACCCCCAGUCUUCUCCCAGCUAAACCUGCAGAUUCACCAGUCUGUCCCGUGAGUCUGAUUCCUGCACCAUCCGAGUUAUGCAGAGAUGCUUCAGUUCACCUGAGUUCCUCUGAAACUGAAAAUGGUGUUUCAAUCAUGCAGAAAUUCAGCCUAGGAGGCAGCACUGGAGAAAUAUGGCUUAAAACCAACAGGGAAAAACAGUCCAACCAUGGCCAAGUUAUUCAGACAAAAAUAAAUUCUGGUUUUCCAUUUUAGUCUUUUUCUACGCUGAGGCUAGUCAUGCCCAGCUCAGUUAUGAAGCCCAGGAAAGAAGGAAAAAGCUGUAUGGCAGGCUAGCACUGAGCCUUUCAUAUUCUUGCAUUUUAUCGUCAAAAAACCCUCUGAGUGGGUACUAUUGUUAUUCCUCUUUUACUGGCUCCAAGGUCAAAGAAUCCACGCAAGGUCACACUGCUAGCAGAGGGCAGAGUGAGGUCUCUAACUUGUGAAUUGCACUUCCAUUGCUCGAAGCUGCUGCCCUGGAGUCCAUCCUGAAAACCGAGGUCCUGGAUUGGAUGUGUUUUUCUGCGUGUUCUAUGACAUACAGCUUCAAUUCAAGGCCAGUUCGCAUACAUCCUAUUUAUACAGCUACAAAAACUUUUGAAAUGCAAGUUAAGAACUUUAUGGGAGAAGAGUUCUUUUUGGAAGCAAAUGAAACAGAAAUUCCAAGUGAGAGCCAAAAGUCAUCCCAAACAUGGUUUUAUUCCAAUGGCAUUACUUAACGGUAAAGUGUUAUAUUACCCUUGAAUUUCCUGCCUGGGCUCAGGGUAGGCCAGGCCCUGGAUGCUUUUUUGCAUUUAUCACAGCAAAGCCGUCGCCCCUUACUCACGCUGGCUCUCCAACGUGUCCGUUACUCAAGAAAAAAGGGAAGAAUGUUUCCCAUGCACGCGCUGUAAUUUUUUUUUUUUUUUUUUCGUGUUGCUCAGUCUGCCAGAACAAAAGUAAAACCACAGAAAGGAGAUUUAGAUCAGCCUCUUCAUCUGCCGGCUGUUAUGUUACAGUUUUAGGAGGGGUUGGACAUCAAACACUUGAAACUGUCAUCCAUGCAUUCCUUCUUGGAAUAAAGCAGCAUUGGCGUGGACCCCUGCUACAUUAUUUUCUACCCCCAAAUGUUGGAAACUCUUGCCCUCCAGGAAAAUACAGAAGAAAACCCUGAAUUAAGGGAGUUAGUUCUGAGAAAGUCUCUUGCGGUCUGUAAUAAACUGGCACAUAAUGACAUCUGGCCAGAUGGAUUCUCCACCUUCACAGAGAUGUUGCUUGGAUGUUUAGUUUUUCUAAUUUGUUGGUUCUUAUAAAUAGUGCUUGAGAGAACUUUUUUUUAAGUAUUUAUUUAUUUACCUGGCUGCAUCAGGUCUUAGUCGAGGCAUUCUGGAUCUUUCAUUGUGGCACACAGACUCUCUUGUUGUAGCAUAUAGGCUCCAGAGGGCUCAAUAGUUGCCUCGAGUGGGCUUAGUUGUUCUGCAGCAUGUGGGCUCUUAAUUCCUGGACCAGGAAUCAAACCGGCGUCCCCUGUAUUACAAGGCAGAUCCUUAACCACUGCAACACCAGGGAAAUCCCUGUUCAUUUUCUUCAAACUUAAUGGCAACUUAAUGCUCUAUUCUUUAUGCACUUGUUCAUGCUGUACCUUCUCUUGAUCAUGACUUGUGCGUAAGUCAGGUAACCUGGCCUAUCUGGUUUAUUACCUAGUGUACCUUCAGUAGGUCCUCAAGAAAUGCUUUUUGAAUGACAUCUUUUACAUCUUUUGUGCAUAUAUAUGUAGCUCUUAAUGCAAUUUCUCAUUCAGAUUAAUUCUUUGGUCAAAUUACUAGAGACAGAAAGAACACAAUUGUUUAAUAGGUGAAGGGUGUCAAUAGGGGAGGAGAAAAAAGUUCUGCAGGUGGAUGGUGGUGAUGGUGGCCCAACAAUGUGAAUGUAGUUGAUGCUUCUGAACUGUACAUUUUAAAGUGGUUACAAUGGUAAAUUUUAUAAUAUAUGUCUUUUACCACAGUAAAAAUAAAUGAAUACUUUGACUUGGAAUUCUUGGGCUAAGAGUAAGUAUGUAUAUUUUAUUUUAUUUAUUUUAUUUUUUAGUAUGUAUAUUUUAAAUUUGGGUGUAUAUUACUAAACUUUCCUCCAGAAGUUAUGCCAUUUUGUAUGCCAACUACCAGUGCAUGCAAAAACCCAUUCUGUAGCAUGCUAGCAACAUUCAGUCUCAUUAUUCUUUGUAUUUGAUAGGUAAACAUACACACACAAAUACACUAUAGUUACUUGUGUAACUAUGCUUAUUAGUAAGG
ensembl:lncRNA